CGCGGAGGAAAAGGCCGCGGCGGAGAAGGUGGCGAAGGAGAAGGCGGCGAAGGAGACGGCGGCGAAGGAGAAAGCAACGAAUGAACAGGUGCGGAAGGAUGAUGAGACG
rnacentral:ribozyme from 1 species